AACGAACGCUGGCGGCAUGCCUAACACAUGCCAGUCGAACGCGACCUUCGGUUCCAGUGGCGCACGGGUGCGUCACACGUGGGAACCUGCCCUUUGGAUCCGAAUCACUCCCCGAAAGGGGUCCUAAUAACGGAUAAUUUCUUCGCACCAAGGAUUCAUCGCCUUUGGAUUGGCCCGUGUUGGAUUCGCUAGUUGGUAGGGUAAACGCCUAUCAAGGCGACGAUACAUAGCUGGUCUGAGACGCGGAACAGCCACACGGGGACUGCGACACGGAGCAGACUCGUACGGGAGGCAGCAGUGGGGAAUAUUGGACAAUGGGCGAGAGCCUGAGAAAGCAAUGCCGCGUGUGUUAUGAAGGCCUUAGGGGUGUAAAGCUCGUGUACCCGGGAGGAUAAUGACAGUACCGGGAGAAUAAGCACCGGCUAACUUCGUG
rnacentral:rRNA from 1 species